UGCCAGCAGCCGCGGUAAUACGAAGGGUGCAAGCGUUACUCGGAAUUACUGGGCGUAAAGCGUGCGUAGGUGGUUGUUUAAGUCUGAUGUGAAAGCCCUGGGCUCAACCUGGGAAUGGCAUUGGAUACUGGGCAGCUAGAGUGCGGUAGAGGGUAGUGGAAUUCCCGGUGUAGCAGUGAAAUGCGUAGAGAUCGGGAGGAACAUCUGUGGCGAAGGCGACUGCCUGGACCAGCACUGACACUGAGGCACGAAAGCGUGGGGAGCAAACAGGAUUAGAUACCCUGGUAGUCCACGCCCUAAACGAUGCGAACUGGAUGUUGGGCUCAACUUGGAGCUCAGUAUCGAAGCUAACGCGUUAAGUUCGCCGCCUGGGGAGUACGGUCGCAAGACUAAACUCAAAGGAAUGACGGSSSCCCGCACAAG
rnacentral:rRNA from 1 species